rnacentral:rRNA from 1 species
AUUGAACGCUGGCGGCAUGCUUUACACAUGCAAGUCGAACGGUAACAGGCCUUCGGGUGCUGACGAGUGGCGGACGGGUGAGUAAUGCAUCGGAACGUACCCAGAGGUGGGGGAUAACGCAGCUAAAGCUGUGCUAAUACCGCAUGUGAUCUGAGGAUGAAAGCGGGGGACCGAGCAGCAAUGUUUGGCCUCGCGCCUUUGGAGCGGCCGAUGUCGGAUUGGCUAGUUGGUGGGGUAAAGGCCUACCAAGGCGACGAUCCGUAGCUGGUCGGAGAGGCCGAUCAGCGACACGGGGACUGAGACACGGACAAGAGUCCUACGGGAGGCAGCAGUGGGGAAUUGUGGACAAUGGGCGCAAGCCUGAUCCAGCAAUGCCGCGUGCGGGAAGAAGGCCUUCGGGUUGUAAACCGCUUUUGGCAGGAACGAAACGGUGUCCGCUAAUACCGGGCGCUAAUGACGGUACCUGCAGAAUAAGCACCGGCUAACUACGUG